GACCUCAAAUCAGGUAGGACUACCCGCUGAACUUAAGCAUAUCAAUAAGCGGAGGAAAAGAAACUAACAAGGAUUCCCCUAGUAACUGCGAGUGAAGCGGGAAAAGCUCAAAUUUAAAAUCUGACAGUUUCACUGUCCGAGUUGUAAUCUGGAGAAGCAUUUUCCGUGUCGGACCGUGUACAAGUCUCUUGGAAUAGAGCGUCAUAGAGGGUGAGAAUCCCGUCCAUGACACGGACUACCGAUGCUUUGUGAUAUGCUCUCGAAGAGUCGAGUUGUUUGGGAAUGCAGCUCAAAAUGGGUGGUAAAUUCCAUCUAAAGCUAAAUAUUGGCGAGAGACCGAUAGCGAACAAGUACCGUGAGGGAAAGAUGAAAAGCACUUUGGAAAGAGAGUUAAACAGUACGUGAAAUUGUUGAAAGGAAAACGCUUGAAGUCAGUCGCGUUGAUUGAGACUCAGCCUUGCUUUGCAUGGUGUACUUCUCAGUUAACGGGUCACAUCAAUUUCAGUUGGUGGAU
rnacentral:rRNA from 1 species